CAAUAGCGUAUAUUAAAGUUGUUGCAGUUAAAAAGCUCGUAGUUGGAUUUCUGAUUGAGACAUCAGGUCGGGUCCGAGAGGAUCAUGUACUUUGAUUUGUUUUGAUCAUCCUUGGGGAGAGCAGUUCUGGCAUUAAGUUGUCGGGGUUGGGAUCCUCAUCGUUUACUGUGAAAAAAUUAGAGUGUUCAAAGCAGGCCUCGGCCUCUGAAUACAUUAGCAUGGAAUAAUAAGAUAGGACUUUGGUGGUCUAUUUUGUUGGUUUGCACGCCAAAGUAAUGAUUAAUAGGGAUAGUCGGGGGUAUUCGUAUUCAAUUGUCAGAGGUGAAAUUCUUGGAUUUAUGGAAGACGAACUACUGCGAAAGCAUUUACCAAGGAUGUUUUCAUUAA
rnacentral:rRNA from 1 species